rnacentral:tRNA from 1 species
GAGGGCAUAGCUCAAUGGUAGAGCAUGUGCUUAGCACGAACAAGAUCCUGGGUUCAAUCCCCAGUACAUCCA